CCCCUGUGGGACCCCUAAGGAGGGUCCUUCAGUCACGCCGCUCUGCGGUCACAAAAGACACCGCUGUGGCUCAAGGUGGGCAGGCUUAAGGGAAAAAAAAAAAUCACUUCAGGUGCAUUCAGUUAAUAUUCUGGAUGACGACUCACUCCUUCCUCACACGACCGGCGUUUAGGUUGCACUUUCUUAUGCUCAAAGCGUGUUGUAAAUCACGAUGUGAUCCUCACGGCCUGAUGAAGUCGGCUGGCAGCAUUUUCCUCAGCUGGAGGGAGAGAAUUCUGUGGGAAAAAAGUAAUAUCUUCUAUUAGGUGAGGAAGGGAUCCCGUCACCUCGUGCUGAGCUACGUGGUGAAGGCAUAGCAGGACUAAUGGAGGAACUGAUGGUAAUCCCAGGUGAUGAAGAGCAGAACAGAGUGCUUGAAUGCCUUACAGUUAAGUUACCAAUGCUUGUAGCUGUCCUGAAUGAAGGGGAUUUGAAUUAAAGAGGGUAGCACUCGGACACAGCAGCUAAUGGAGCUGUGACAGUGAGGUAUAGCAGAGUAUACCGGCGAUCUCCAUCAGCAUUUGCCUUGAGGCUGCUUAAAAGCCUGUUUGCAUGGUGCAGGAGUGGAUGUGCCGUUCAGCCUCAGAGUCCCAGCUGCCCAAGUUUUUCAUCCAUUGCUAUGUGAAGAAACGUUCCAGGGAGAAGCAGUAACCCUGUUUAAUUAAGAAUAAGAAACGUGGAGUGAUUCUUUCUAGCUGAGGCAUCAGGAGGUGCAUGGGGAUAUGGGAAGGAAAGAAGCUGAAGGAAGGAGCAAUUCCCUCAUGAUCUGCCUUUGGGUAACUUGGAGUUUACAGCCAUGCAGUUGCCAGCCUGAUAUGACACGUUUGUUAGUUAUCUGGCUGUGCUACUUUACAGAAGUCAGACACCUUGGACAAAACGCAUCCUGUGCGUGUACCCUGAGGUAUCUCUGGGCACAAAUAGCCUUUGUGUUACAGAAGAGAUGUUCUGGAGCAGAAACGACUUUUUUGAUCCGGGAGCAGCUCCCAGAGUUGUGGUGAUGAGUGGACAAGAACUUCUGGGGAGGAUAUUUUACCUGCAUCCUCAUCGGUGCCUGACAAGGAUGAGAGAAGGUAGGUGAAGGCUGGCUUUCUCUCUAAGUCUCUGCAGAAGGGAUAAAAUGUAGUCUGAUUUUACCUGAACUGAAUAACUUGUCCAGCUGAGAUGUGUCUACAGGGCAGGAGGAUGAGGUAUCAGUAAAUAAAGUAUUUGUUU
rnacentral:lncRNA from 1 species